rnacentral:tRNA from 2 species
GCCCCGAUGGUGAAAUGGUAGACACGCGAGACUCAAAAUCUCAUGAUGAAGAGCGUGGACGUUCGAGUCCUCUUCAAGGCA